UAGGUAUAGAAGGAGAUUCUUUCAGUCUAAUCAUGGAUAGAAAAAGAAGAGGGUCGAAAUAUCUGCCGACUCAUCCAUCCAAACACUCGGGGUAGAGAAACGAUUAAUUUUAAACCGCGGUGACUGUGUGAAUGAUUCGGGAGAUAUUUUUCAUCCUCUUUAUCUGUGUUUGGACUGAAGGGAGCUCCUUCUUUAUCUACA
rfam:Arabis alpina cultivar Pajares chromosome 4, whole genome shotgun sequence.